GUAGGGAAUAUUGCUCAAUGGGCGAAAGCCUGAAGCAGCAACGCCGCGUGUGCGAUGAAGGCCUUCGGGUCGUAAAGCACUUUUCUGGGAGAUGAGAAAGGACAGUAUCUCAGGAAUAAGCCUCGGCUAACUACGUGCCAGCAGCCGCGGUAAAACGUAGGAGGCAAGCGUUAUCCGGAUUUACUGGGCGUAAAGCGCGUGCAGGCGGUUCGGUAAGUUGGAUGUGAAAGCUCCCGGCUCAACUGGGAGAGGUCGUUCAAUACUGCCGGACUAGAGGGCAGCAGAGGAAGGUGGAAUUCCCGGUGUAGUGGUGAAAUGCGUAGAUAUCGGGAGGAACACCAGUGGCGAAGGCGGCCUUCUGGGCUGCUCCUGACGCUCAGACGCGAAAGCUAGGGUAGCGAACGGGAUUAGAAACCCCUGUAGUCC
rnacentral:rRNA from 1 species